rnacentral:rRNA from 1 species
CCCUGGUAGUCCACGCCGUAAACGGUGGGAACUAGGUUUGGCGACAUUCCACGUCGUCGGUGCCGCAGCUAACGCAUUAAGUUCCCCGCCUGGGGAGUACGGCCGCAAGGCUAAAACUCAAAGGAAUUGACGGGGGCCCGCACAAGCAGCGGAGCAUGUGGCUUAAUUCGACGCAACGCGAAGAACCUUACCAAGGCUUGACAUACACCGGAAAGCAUCAGAGAUGGUGCUCCCCCUUGUGGUCGGUGUACAGGUGGUGCAUGGCUGUCCUCCGCUCGUGUCGUGAGAUGUUGGGUUAAGUCCCGCCACGAGCGCAACCCUUGUUCUGUGUUGCCCGCAAGCCCUUUGGGGUGAUGGGGACUCACAGGAGACCGCCGGGGUCAACUCGGAGGAAGGUGGGGACGACGUCAAGUCAUCAUGCCCCUUAUGUCUUGGGCUGCACACGUGCUACAAUGGCCGCUACAAUGAGCUGCGAU